rnacentral:lncRNA from 1 species
CAGGUUUAAAAAUAUAUACUUGUUUAUUGAUUUUAAAGAAAGGCAUUGAUGUUUAUGGUUAGGUACAUUGGUGCAACGACAGUGCUUUUUUCACAAAUGCGCUUAUUAAAUCAUCCGUUUGGCAAAGUAGGCUGUGAUUCAAUGAGAAAUGAACAGGCACCGCAUCGAUUAUAUGCAACGCAGGACACGUUAGAUAAACUAGUAAUAUCAUCAACCAUGUGUAGUUAACUAGUGAUUAUGUUAAGAUUGAUAGUUUUUUAUAAGAUAAGUUUAAUGCUAGCUAGCAACUUACCUUGGCUUCUUGCUGCCCUCACGUAACAGCUAGUCAGCCUGCCAUGCAGGCUCCUCGUGCGUUGGAUUGGAUUAGUAACCGGAAGGUUGCAAAAACGAAUCCCUCCCUGAACAACGCAGGGGGGAUUCGUGACGGCCCCGUUCCUAGGCUGUCAUUGAAAAUAAUAAUGUGUUCUUAAUCUGACUUGCCUAGUUAAAUAAAGGUGUACAUUUUUUUUUUUAAAUGUCCCCCCCCAGAAAAAUAAAAUAAAAAUACAAACCUGCGGCCAAAAAUACCGAUUACCGAUUGUUAUGAAAACUUGAAAUCGGCCCUAAUUAAUCGGCCAUUCCGAUUAAUCGGUCGACCUCUACUCUCCAUCCUCAUCUCUCUCCAUCCUCAUCUUUUUCUCCUUUAAGACAGCAAGUUUUGAAAUGAUUUAACAGAAAUGGCAGUGUCAGUCAGUCACUUGUUGUCCCCCCUCUUCUUCUUCUUCUUGCAUUUAGUAUUUUCUUCUCUUCCUCCUGGGUGUAGAGAGAGCAGAGAGAGACCGUCUUCCUCCUGGGUGUAGAGAGAGCAGAGAGACCGUCUUCCUCCUGGGUGCAGAGAGAGCAGAGAGAGACCGUCUUCCUCCUGGGUGCAGAGAGAGCAGAGAGAGACCGUCUUCCUCCUGGGUGCAGAGAGAGACCGUCUUCCUCCUGGGUGCAGAGAGAGACCGUCUUCCUCCUGGGUGCAGAGAGAGCAGAGAGACCGUCUUCCUCCUGGGUGCAGAGAGAGCAGAGAGAGACCGUCUUCCUCCUGGGUGCAGAGAGAGACCGUUUUCCUCCUGGGUGCAGAGAGAGACCGUUUUCCUCCUGGGUGCAGGGAGAGACCAGAGAGACCGUCUUCCUCCUGGGUGCAGGGAGAGACCGUCUUCCUCCUGGGUGCAGAGAGAGCAGAGAGAGACCGUCUUCCUCCUGGGUGUAGAGAGAGCAGAGAGAGACCGUCUUCCUCCAGGGUGCAGAGAGAGCAGAGAGAGACCGUCUUCCUCCGGGGUGCAGAGAGAGACCAUCCAGACGGUAUGGGUUUCACUAGACAAUCAGCAUGUUUUAGCAAAUAGGCUUGUUGCAAAACAGCAUAAUCACGUCUUUAUCAUAAGGUUGCAAAAUCUUCGGGUUAUUCAGAAUUCCCAGAUUUUCUACUUAUUUCCUUCCAGAUUCCAGGAUCCCCCGACUGGGAUUUCUAGGAAACCUUGGAAUUUUGGGAAAGUUUCCCG